rnacentral:lncRNA from 1 species
UGCAGUCGUCCUUGCCAGGUGCAGAGGGCCCUGACAAGCCUAGCGUCGUGUCAGGGCUGAACUCGGGCCCUGGUCAUGUGUGGGGCCCUCUCCUGGGACUACUGCUCCUGCCUCCUCUGGUGUUGGCUGGAAUCUUCUGAAGGGGAUACCACUCAAAGGCAAGGCCUGGUGAGGGGGGCCCUGGCCUCAUACCCACCUGGAUUGUCUUCCUCCAAGUGAGAGACCACAGCUUCCUGGGCAGGUCCUGCUCUGUGGCCCAGCAGCCCCCCUUCACCCCAACUUCUGGCCAGAUUCCAGGCCAGCACUCUUGUCCUCCUGGGAGGCGUCUACAGGGCCAGCCCCUGGCACUGCCCCAGGAGUGCCUUGGCUCUGGGUAGGCCCAUCCUUCAGCUGGCUGCAGACUGUUCUGAGCGGUAUUUACAUGUGCCCACUCUCAGGUUGUCCUGUGGCCAUCAGCUUCUCUCCCAGACAGAGGAUCUCAGGCUUCCCAGGAACCCCCGGGCCCCUCCCAGUCCCCUGGCCUCUUCCUUGAGCCAUCUGAGUCCAGGACUGUUCCCCAGAAGUGCCUCUUGCCUUCUCAGGGUGAAGAGGUCAGCUGUCCUCCUGUCAUCUUCCCCACCCUGUCCCCAGCCCCUAAACAAGAUACUUCUUGGUUAAGGCCCUCCGGAAGGGAAAGGCUACGGGGCAUGUGCCUCAUCACACCAUCCAUCCUGGAGGCACAAGGCCUGGCUGGCUGCGAGCUCAGGAGGCCGCCUGAGGACUGCACACCGGGCCCACACCUCUCCUGCCCCUCCCUCCUGAGUCCUGGGGGUGGGAGGAUUUGAGGGAGCUCACUGCCUACCUGGCCUGGGGCUGUCUGCCCACACAGCAUGUGCGCUCUCCCUGAGUGCCUGUGUAGCUGGGGAUGGGGAUUCCUAGGGGCAGAUGAAGGACAAGCCCCACUGGAGUGGGGUUCUUUGAGUGGGGGAGGCAGGGACGAGGGAAGGAAAGUAACUCCUGACUCUCCAAUAAAAACCUGUCCAACCUGUGGC